rnacentral:lncRNA from 1 species
GUCAACUUUGAUGUAUUUUUAGUUGAAUUUCUGCCUAUGGAACUGGACGUGGUUUAUGUAUCUCAUUUUCAGGCUUUUGAACACUGUAUUUUUUCCUGUAGGUUGGUGUACGGUUAGAGAAUGCAGAAGUUCUCAUGCAGAAGAUUUUUGGGCGAAAGUCUGCUACUUUCAGUGACAAUUUUUUUGCAAACACUGAUGAAAGAAAGCGCAAGUCAGAAAACCCAGUGAAGACGGUAGGAAAGGUCAAGCAGAGGAAGUUCACUUCCAAGCGGUACAGCCGUGGUGAUCGUCUUGUGACCAAAGCUGGCAAGGCAAAGUUGGGAAGAGCUAACCAGAAUUGUCCCGCUAGAAAGUAUAAUAAGAUGAGUGAGUUAGUGAAGAAGUUCACUGAAAGAAUGGUGAGGAAGAAGGAGCUGAAAUGUGAGCUAAGCAUGAAGAUCUUUGGAAAUGAACUUAGCUUUGUGGAUUGUGAAGAUUUAAGAAAACAGAUGAAACAUUAUUCUUUAAAUCUGGCUGAGCUGGCAGUCAAACUUCUGAAGGUAAAAGGAACUUUUCUGCUGUUUGAGAAACUACCUUCUGGCAGAUAUGUAGAAGUUACAGACUAUUACUUGUUCUUUCUUUAAACCAAACUUUAAAAGACUCCAAUAUAUGUUGGGUUUAAACAGCAUUUGGUAAAUGGUGCUUUGAAUAGCCUUAGUGUUUAUGAGGCAAGGACUGGGUCUGUUGUCUGAUGAUUCUUAUCUCAUUUUCUCAUUCAAAAGCGUCCAUGCUUAAGGGCAAAAUAAUUCCAUUUUUU